UGAGGACUGGCUGGUAGGACAACCACAAUUCCCCAGGCUGGAGGAAUUGUCGACCAAGUACUCAGAAGGAUAAGUUCCCCAGGAUUUUGGGGGGACCUGAUGUAAAUUAAACCAAGCAAAACUCUCUGGGAUGCCAGUUCAGAAGGGUUCUGCUUUACCAGCCCAUGGGUUGGCCUCAGCGUACUGCCAGCACCCUCCCAGUCACCCCUCCCUGCUCUCUUCCUCCCCAGAUAUAACUGCGUUCAUUGUGCAAUUUUGAUUUCCUUGCUUUUUAAAGAGCUGUUUCUAAGUCCUGCACUGGUCUGCGAGCUUGGGGAGCAUCAGAAGGGUGUUUAUUCCCAGUGGCUACUCCCCCAGCGCGGGAUAAGACUGAAGGCAAGCUUUUGCUGGCGUCAGUGUUUUUGCUCAAAGCCCAGCAGCAGAGAGAACUCUUCAAGACAAGAUCACCUCUGAAGAUGGAAGCAUCCCAGAGAAAUGUUAAUUCGUACCUUGCCCUUUCUAUCUUCAACCUGCUGUGUUGCUGUCUGCCACUUGGAAUCGCAGCUCUCGUCUUCUCUCUCCAGGCGAGAAAUGCCAGCAAUGAAGGGAACAUCAAUCAAGCCGCAAGCUCUUCCCGAACGGCCCGCAUCCUGAAUAUCAUUGGGAUUGUCAUUGGAGCAAUUAUGCUUGUGAUUAUUAUAGUGAUUGUUGCUGUUCAAAAAAAUAAACACUAAGAGGAGAUGUCCCUCACGCUUCCUCUCAGAGAGUGCUCCUGUGAUGGCCCUUGGGAGUGGAUGCAGCGUAUUCGUACAAGGGCGUCCCGAUCCAAGUAGUCACGACCCACCAGCAAAAUUGUCAGUUCAAAGAGACAAUGCUACAAAGCCGCAGUUUUUCUGAAGGCGGAGGGCUCUUUUGUACUAUCUCUGAUUAAUUGCUUUGCUUUCUUUUUUGGGGGGGGGGGGAAACCCACCCUACUCAAUCAUGCUUUGCAUGCUUCGAGAGCAUGGUGACAUGUAACCCAAUAAAACAAAUGAAUGAACAGAUGAA